UGGGGAAUAUUGCGCAAUGGGGGGAACCCUGACGCAGCCAUGCCGCGUGAAUGAAGAAGGCCUUAGGGUUGUAAAGUUCUUUCGGUAUUGAGGAGGGUUGAUGUGUUAAUAGCACAUCAAAUUGACGUUAAAUACAGAAGAAGCACCGGCUAACUCCGUGCCAGCAGCCGCGGUAAUACGGAGGGUGCGAGCGUUAAUCGGAAUAACUGGGCGUAAAGGGCACGCAGGCGGUUAUUUAAGUGAGGUGUGAAAGCCCCGGGCUUAACCUGGGAAUUGCAUUUCAGACUGGGUAACUAGAGUACUUUAGGGAGGGGUAGAAUUCCACGUGUAGCGGUGAAAUGCGUAGAGAUGUGGAGGAAUACCGAAGGCGAAGGCAGCCCCUUGGGAAUGUACUGACGCUCAUGUGCGAAAGCGUGGGGAGCAAACAGGAUUAGAUACCCUGGUAGUCCACGCUGUAAACGCUGUCGAUUUGGGGGUUGGGGUUUAACUCUGGCGCCCGUAGCUAACGUGAUAAAUCGACCGCCUGGGGAGUACGGCCGCAAGGUUA
rnacentral:rRNA from 1 species